rnacentral:rRNA from 1 species
AUAACGACUCUCGGCAACGGAUAUCUAGGCUCUCGCAUCGAUGAAGAACGUAGCAAAAUGCGAUACUUGGUGUGAAUUGCAGAAUCCCGUGAACCAUCGAGUCUUUUGAACGCAAGUUGCGCCCGAAGCCAUUAGGCCGAGGGCACGUCUGCAUGGGCGUCUCA